UACAUUGUAUGUAUGGAUGUAUGUAUGUAUAGGACGCGCGAAUGUAUUUUUACACAUUCGCAUUUUUUAUAAAAACUGUGUGUAUUUCACAUUCUUAUAAUACGAAAAACGAAAAGAAUCUUAAUAUCACGUGUAUAUAAUAUUACAUAUAACAUAUAUUAUGUCAUUGUAUAUGUAUGUAUAGUACAACUUUAUCGACAUUAUCAUGUUAAAACAUCAUACCGAGAAACCGCGAUCGAGAUAUUAUAACUAAGUUAGGUUAACCUUUUUUAAGUUUGUUGCUCGCUCAUCGUGUAUUAUGCAACACAACAACAAUUUAAUCGUAAUGACAUUGUCGUUAAAAGGUACAGAAGUCUAUGUGUUACAGUUGUCUAUCUGUUACAUUUGGUCAAUUUUAGUUGGUCAGUCAACUAAUUACCGUUAUACUAUAUAUACCGUUAAUUACGAAUGCCACGAUAUACGUAUUGUCUCUCUUAUAGUAUUACAAUAUUAAUUAUAGAUGUUAAUAUAAAUAAUACGCGCACUAUUGUAUUAAAUACAAAGAUAUUUUCGAAACGAUAUAUAUGGACAACUAUCUACAUAUGUCAAAAAUAGAAAGGUGCAAAAACCAAUUAAUGAGAUAAUCGUAUCGUUAUACUUAAUUAAGUUAUUACAAUUUUACAAAUAUGUGUAACAAAGUGUGAUUUACAAUAUAUUACGUAAAAAAAACCACAAAGAUGAGAUUUUACGCUGUUAAACAUUAAUUUCUUUUCUUUAUUCUAUGAGCAUCACAUUUUUUGUAAUUAUAUAUAUAGGUCACUGGAUCACACACGCGUGGCAGUUUUAACCGCGCAUCAACGACUGCAUUCCCAAGCGAGUCCGGUACGAGGAUAUGGAUAUGGAGAGAAACGUUGCGAGAGCGUGACCAAAUUACGCGUUCGAUCAAAUCGGUUCACAGUUUUAUAAGCAAGAACAUAUAUGGUUUUAUAGAAAAAUCCCAUUUUGUGUGUAUGCAUACAUAUAACUACAAAUAUCUUUUUUUACAGAUAUAAGAGAACAAUUUUUUCAUAAUGUAUGUUAAAUUAAAUUUUUUAUUUUGAAUCUUAAACUAUCCUAGGAAUUAAAAUCCCUUUUUUUCCAGUACA